CUGAUAUAGAUCAUCAAGGUGGCAGCGACCGCCACCACUGUGGCACCUGUGAACUGGAGGAAUGGGAUCGCAGCCAAGACGGCGACGCCGACACACGCCCCGAUCGGCGUGUGCAGCGUUGGAUUCACCUUCGAGAGCACCGACGAGAACGGCAGUUGGUUGUCGCGGGCCAUCCCGAACAUCAACCGAACGGUCGAGGUCAUGAUCGACAGACAGCACACGAAGAUCGCCGCAACGACCACGAGCAGGUAGAUCGCCGAGAACGUCGAUGAGAAGACC
rnacentral:misc_RNA from 1 species